rnacentral:misc_RNA from 1 species
GUAGGUGAACCUGCGGAAGGAUCAUUAGUGAAUUGAGGGUGCACUGGUUUAACUACCAGUGGCCUGACCUCCACUUUCCAACACUGUGCACUUUUUGGUGAAUAUUGAAGCCAGCCUAGCUGGGAGAUAUGUUCACCUAUUUUAUUUAAACAUUAGUUAAAGAAUGUAAAAAAUCAUAACAAAAAAAAACUUUCAACAACGGAUCUCUUGGCUCUCGCAUCGAUGAAGAACGCAGCAUCUGACUGACUCG